rnacentral:rRNA from 1 species
GUGGAUUAGAUACCCGGGUAGUCCACGCCGUAAACGAUGAGUGCUAGGUGUUGGGGGUAUUGACCCCCCCAGUACCGCAGCUAACGCGUUAAGCACUCCGCCUGGGGAGUACGGCCGCAAGGCUAAAACUCAAAGGAAUUGACGGGGGCCCGCACAAGCGGUGGAGUAUGUGGUUUAAUUCGACGCAACGCGCAAAACCUUACCUGGGUUAAAUCCACCCGAACCUGCCAGAAACGGUGGGGUGUCUUCGGAAGCGGGUGAGAAGGUGCUGCAUGGUCGUCGACAGCU